CACAAAUUUGUAUUAGUGAAAUAGACCCACAACACAAAAUCAGAUUGAAUUGCUUUACCAUUCUGGGUAAAUGACUUUUAAAAGCCAAUGUGUGGUGACUUCCCACUUUCCAGAUUGCAAUAAAAGUCUGCAUUCCACCUAGCCCAGAGUAUACAGCCUUUUUGGCAUCAGUUUUGAUAUUCAGCAAGCCUAAAUGACAGUCUUUGGUGUCAAAGCCAUCACUUAUGUGAGAACCAAUGAGAUGAAGUCUCAUAUUUCAUAUAAAAGAGAGCAAAUAGUCCCUUUAAAAAUUUGCUUCCUUCCAUUGCCCUUUAAGCACUUUGUACAAAUGUCUAACUGAUCUAUAAGUAUUUCAAGUUUUGAUUUCUCUACUGGAGGAGAUCCUUAAAAGUAUCCCCAAUGAUAAUAUGGUUUUCUGGUAUUUAAUAGAUGCUCAAUAAAUAUUUGCUUAUUGAAAUAGCAAAGCCUCCAUAAUUCUACACACAUAUACAUAGAUAUGGGGUAGUUCUACACAUGAGCUGUUUUUCUAAGGAGAGAGUCCACAUUAGGGAAGUCUUUGUUUUGUCUUCAAGCUGAUUAGAAUCCGUUACGGACUGCGAAGUUAGUCCCUGGAGUGUCCUUACUGGCCUUUCAAAAUCUUGAGUAUGUCAUUCUAGGUUGGAAUUAGUAUGGCCUGAGUUUGAGGCUAUAUCUGAGCUGAUUCUCUUUAAAUAUCACCCAUGCAGUAUUUCUAGGACCAGAUGUUUACCAGGGCUCUUAGAGCCACCAGGAGAGACUGACUGCAUUAGAGAAAACAUUACUGAUUGGAGAUGUUGGACUUGUGGUGCCCUUUUCCCUCUCUCUGUUUUCUUAGGUGAGUUUCCAUCCCAAAAUUCCUGUGGUUUUAAGGAAAUCACUGGAAUAAGUCCCAAACCUACCUCUAGUAGUCAAGCUUCCCUUUCAAUUUUCUCAACUCUUCUCUGGUGAGAGGGCUAAUCACAGAUUAUAGUACCAACUUGGACCUUUCCAUAUGCUUUGCUUAAGUUGUCAGAGUAACUGCCUCAGCUAAAUAAACUUGUGUAUGAACAUAUAUGAGGGCUUCCUCAGGUUUCAUGAGUUUUGCUAAAGGUACUAUGUAGAAGACUGGAUGAAUUACUGUAAGAAUAAAAGUUAUCAGUUCCAAUACAAACAAAAAAUCCUCUUGUCCCUGAGAAGCAUCACUAAGGGAUUUCUUUUUGUCCCAUAUUAUAAAUCUAGUUUUAAUAAAUUGGUCUGAAGAUAUUCUUUCAUAUGCGAGGAAUAAAUAUAUUAUGCCUUUCCCAUCUAAAGGGCAAACUGCUAAAAGGCAGAAAUAAUGUAUUUCCCAACCCCAGAAUACCUGUUGCUAGGAUUGCCUUAUACCUGCUGCUCAGGAAGCGUUUUCACUGGCUUGGACUGACUACUUGCCAUCUGCUCUCUGAGCAUUCACUGCUGAAUGAAAGGGGAGAGAAAGUGAAAGGAGAGGUGCCGGGAGUUGUGGGGGGGGAGGAAGCUGGAAAAAUAAGAGGAAACAGCUGGCAGCUGAGGAGGGAGGGGGACUUAUGUAAGAUCAGUACAACAAAAAGCUAGCAGAGGACAGGGUCAGGCCUUGAGGGUAGAGGGCUAAUUAACUUCUGUCAACUAGUUGAGUAGAGCCUUGUGUGCUUUGUUAAAGAGGCUAAAUUUACUUCAAAGGAAAAAUCUAGAUUCUCUGAAUCUGACCCAUCUUUCCUGUGUACCAUAGUAAAUUGUUCAUCAAGUCAAAAUCUGUCCUGCCCUCUAGGAAUUCUGGUGCUCUUUCUUUAGGUCUAGCAAAGAGCUUGCUGCCACUGCUCAGGCAACCAAGAGUGAAAUGCUUCAAGUAGUAGUUGUGGGUGGCAGGCAAAUGAGAGGGAGAGGAAGGAGUACCGACUCUGAAAGAGACAGCCGUAAAAUCUGCAUGUAUUAAUAUGCUAACUCUUUGGAGACUUCUGAGAAGCAGAAUCCUUCCUGAAAUCUGGACUAUCCUCAAAUGUGGCUGACCGUUUCCCUGAUGUGUUACCUGCUUCUGCCACUGAUCCAAACUGCAGAACUUCUUGUUUGUCCCAAGGCCUCCAGACAGUAUCCACUAGGGUUCUAAAAGGAACCAGACCAACGUUUUCUAGCUCCUUCAUUCUGGUGACUGAGGGAAAGAAAGAGUGGGAGGGGGUAUACAUGUGUAGUGGAUGGAAAGGAAACAUAGACUGUCAAAUUACUCUACCUCUUCAGUUUCUUUUACUAAUAGAAUUCCGAAACCAUAUUAUUUUUACUGUGUAUGUAUGGGGGAAGUUGGAGAUGAUGACCUUGAUUAGAAUGUGGCUCCAGAGGAAUAAAUGGAGGGGAUGAGAUAAGAGACAGUUGGUUAUGAAAGAUGUUAAAGUCUUGAAAUAAUGUGACCAUCUGAAGAAUUUUUUUAAACCAGAGUUUAUAAAAAUAUCACUGAUACAGCCUGCCCCCUCAUUUCCUGCCCGAGGAGACUUCUUGGACUGGAGACACUUGUUUAAUAAUAGCUUGUCUCUAAUAUUCCCAGUAGCUACCUCUAUGUGAGGAAAAGCUAGAAAACGUUCAGGACAUCGUCAUGCAAAGUUUCAGUAGCAGUGACGCCUACACGGAAGCCUUGGAACUGCAAACAGAGGCUGGGGUCACCCCAGUGACAUCUGAUGCAGUCCAACCAGAAGUUCGAUUUUUGUUUUGGCGGGGUGGGGUGAGGAAGCAGACUAUAUUAAAGGACUAAAAUAA